AGAAGCCAUAUCUCCCCACUGCUGCUCAGUUGGGGCUCGAGGCAUCUCCAGUGCUCAAGAAGAAGAUGGAUUCAGAGCCGUCAUCACCAGAUGACUCCUCUGUAGUCACGGAAACACCAUCUGGACCAGGGCAAGUGACUUGUAACAUGGCUGUCUCCAUUACCAGUCCAGGAGGCAACUGGGGUAACAGAACCUGAGGAAGCCACUGAAGAAGGUCCAGAGGUCCAGCAGGAGAGUAUUGUGCAGCUGCAGAAGGUGUUGCUGUUGGAUCUGGGGUCUAUCAAACACAGACAGGUCAUCCAUCCUGCUCUGCAACAGGAUGAAUGGCAAACCCUGCCCAGAGGCCAGUCUGCUGGGUCGAAUGGGGGCGCUGCAUUCAGCCAAUCGGCCUGCAGGACUGGUCACGGGCCGGAUGGUGACCUUACCUCAGAUGGAGGCUGAAGAGAGGCCCAGGGCGACGGUCAGAAGGACCUCCAAGGCUCUGAGCUCCUUGGCAGCGUCCUCCCAAACCCCAGACGCUUCCGUGGGGGAGACGGCAGUGUCUGGGCCACUGGGUGAGUGGGUCUCAGUGAAACAUCCACCAGAAACAUUGUAGGGGCAAACCACUGAGAGAAACAUUCCAGCAAAGCUACUCGAUCUACUAGAGUUGAUCACGCACACACACUCACGUAUGAAGACAUUAGCUGUUGUGUAAAAAUAGUUAAAAGUACAUUGCUUAGAAAAAGAUUGGCUCACAGUAUAAAGUAGUGGGUGCCUUGUAUAAAUUACAUUGUGUGUUUCUGUUUUGUUGCAGUUAGUCAAGUCAAGUCAAGU